rnacentral:rRNA from 1 species
AGUGAGGAAUAUUGGUCAAUGGGCGAGAGCCUGAACCAGCCAAGUAGCGUGAAGGAUGAAGGUCCUAUGGAUUGUAAACUUCUUUUAUAGUAGAAUAAAGUGACCCACGUGUGGGUUUUUGUAUGUAUACUAUGAAUAAGGAUCGGCUAACUCCGUGCCAGCAGCCGCGGUAAUACGGAGGAUCCGAGCGUUAUCCGGAUUUAUUGGGUUUAAAGGGUGCGUAGGCGGAAUAAUAAGUCAGUUGUGAAAGUUUGCGGCUCAACCGUAAAAUUGCAGUUGAUACUGUUAUUCUUGAGUGUACAUAAGGUAGGCGGAAUUCGUGGUGUAGCGGUGAAAUGCUUAGAUAUCACGAAGAACUCCAAUUGCGAAGGCAGCUUACCGGGGUACAACUGACGCUGAGGCACGAAAGUGUGGGUAUCAAACAGGAUUAGAUACCCUGGUAGUCCACACAGUAAACGAUGAAUACUCGCUGUUUGCGAUAUACCGCAAGCGGCCAAGCGAAAGCAUUAAGUAUUCCACCUGGGGAGUACGCCGGCAACGGUGAAACUCAAAGG